rnacentral:rRNA from 1 species
GAUGAACGCUGGCGGCGUGCUUAGCACAUGCAAGUCGAACGGAAAGGCUCCUGCUUGCAGGGGUACUCGAGUGGCGAACGGGUGAGUAACACGUGGGUGAUCUGCCCUGCACUUCGGGAUAAGCCUGGGAAACUGGGUCUAAUACCGGAUAGGACCACAUUUUGGAUGGUGUGGUGGAAAGUUUUUCGGUGUGGGAUGAGCUUGCGGCCUAUCAGCUUGUUGGUGGGGUAAUGGCCUACCAAGGCGUCGACGGGUAGCCGGCCUGAGAGGGUGUACGGCCACAUUGGGACUGAGAUACGGCCCAGACUCCUACGGGAGGCAGCAGUGGGGAAUAUUGCACAAUGGGCGCAAGCCUGAUGCAGCGACGCCGCGUGGGGGAUGACGGCCUUCGGGUUGUAAACUCCUUUCGCUAGGGACGAAGCGCAAGUGACGGUACCUGGAGAAGAAGCACCGGCUAACUACGUG